rnacentral:rRNA from 1 species
UACGGGGGGGGCAAGCGUUGUUCAGAAUUACUGGGCGUAAAGGGCUCGUAGGCGGCCAACUAAGUCACACGUGAAAUCCCUCGGCUCAACCGGGGAACUGCGUGUGAGACUGGAUGGCUUGAGUUUGGGAGAGGAAUGCGGAAUUCCAGGUGUAGCGGUGAAAUGCGUAGAUAUCUGGAGGAACACCGGUGGCGAAGGCGGCAUUCUGGACCAAUACUGACGCUGAGGAGCGAAAGCCAGGGGAGCAAACGGG